GCUUGCUACAUAAAUGAGAAUAUUACAAUUGUAUUAGUCUUUUGUACAUCAUACAAUAAUAAUUGAAAAAAAAAAAAAAAAAAAAUUGCGAGUUAUUGCGAGUUAUAAGUAUACAUAAUAUAAUAAUAUAUAAUAUAAUAUUAUCAUUACGCGCUAUAAAUAAUAAUAAUAAUAAUAAUAAUAAUAAUAAUAAUAAUAAUAAUGAUAAAUGUUAUUUACAACACUUUAUAUGUAUAAUAAUUGCAGUGUAUUAAUAAUAUUAUGUACACGAAAAAACCACAAAAAAAAAAAAAAAAAAAACUUAAAACAAGUACAUACAUUUACAAAUAACGUUGGCGAUUUGUACAUUUUUUUUUCUUAUCAAACGAUUUAUUUUAUAAUUCAAUCGAUAUAAUUAUAUAUCAAUAAAUAUAUAAAUAUAUAUAUAUAUAUACUAUAAAUAUGCGUUUUAUAAUAUUAUAUAUGUAUAUAAUAUAUAUAUAUAUAUAUAGGUACAAACGUAAAACAUAAUAUACAUAAUAUAUAGGGAAACGACGCGUAAUGACUAGAAUUUUACGGACUGGGCGGCGCUGUCCGUUUAUUGUUUUUGUUUGUUUUUUUACAGGCGGGAAAACGCGAAUAAAAAAAAAAAAAAAAAA